rnacentral:tRNA from 1 species
GUGUUGAUGAUUCAGUAGUAGAAAUCUCACCUUUCGUGCAGAAGAUCCAGGUUCGAUUCCUGGUCGAUAUA